GUGACGGUACCGUGGAGAAGAAGCACCGGCUAACUACGUGCCAGCAGCCGCGGUAAUACGUAGGGUCCGAGCGUUGUCCGGAAUUAUUGGGCGUAAAGGGCUCGUAGGCGGUUUGUCGCGUCGGGAGUGAAAACACCGGGCUUAACUCGGUGCUUGCUUUCGAUACGGGCAGACUAGAGGCAUUCAGGGGAGAACGGAAUUCCUGGUGUAGCGGUGAAAUGCGCAGAUAUCAGGAGGAACACCGGUGGCGAAGGCGGUUCUCUGGGAAUGUCCUGACGCUGAGGAGCGAAAGUGUGGGGAGCGAACAGGAUUAGAUACCCUGGGAGUCCACGCCGUAAACGAU
rnacentral:rRNA from 1 species